UAUUUUCUGCAAAAUAAUCGAAAUUGAAUUCAAACUUAAAGAAAAUAGUCUUACUGUGAUUUAAUCAUUUCCGUCUGCGAUUUGUUGUAGAAAACGAAUCACUGAUGUAAUAUCGAAAAUCAGCAUGAACAUCUUUUGCUAAAACGCUUAUUUGCAAACUAAUAAGCAUAUUUAUGCGGACAACUUACUUCUUCAAUUGUACGAUAAACAGGCAACAGAAUUUCUUUAGUACCCCAAUAAAGCUUGCUGAUACUUUGACUUCCUAAGCACGCGUUAGUAUUCAAAUUUUUAUAUCAACGAAGCACAUACCGAACGUAUAUAUGAUAGCAGCUACAGAUGGAACAGUUCUACCACACAUAUAAUCAAAGUCAAGCAUUCCUUGAACAGCCUUUGUCUGCAUGCCAUACACAAAGGCUCUGGUGUCCUUGGAAAAAAGCUCAUAAGAAGGUUUAUCCACUGAUCCCGCCAUUGUUGUUCUUGUCACUGUGUUGGAGGAGGUAAGGAACGUUCGCUCAUUGUUUUGCUGAACACUUUUUUACAUUUAACGAGAUGUUUGCGAUAAUUGAAAUUUUGAAAA